GACGAACGCUGGCGGCGUGCUUAACACAUGCAAGUCGAACGGAAAGGCCCUGCUUUUGUGGGGUGCUCGAGUGGCGAACGGGUGAGUAACACGUGAGUAACCUGCCCUUGACUUUGGGAUAACUUCAGGAAACUGGGGCUAAUACCGGAUAGGAGCUCCUGCUGCAUGGUGGGGGUUGGAAAGUUUCGGCGGUUGGGGAUGGACUCGCGGCUUAUCAGCUUGUUGGUGGGGUAGUGGCUUACCAAGGCUUUGACGGGUAGCCGGCCUGAGAGGGUGACCGGCCACAUUGGGACUGAGAUACGGCCCAGACUCCUACGGGAGGCAGCAGGGGGGAAUAUUGCACAAUGGGCGGAAGCCUGAUGCAGCAACGCCGCGUGCGGGAUGACGGCCUUCGGGUUGUAAACCGCUUUCGCCUGUGACGAAGCGUGAGUGACGGGAAUGGGGAAAGAAGCACCGGCGAACUACGU
rnacentral:rRNA from 1 species